rnacentral:rRNA from 1 species
UCGCAAUGCGGCGUGCUAUACAUGCAAGUCGAGCGCGGGAAGCGAGCGGAUCCCCUUCGGGGGUGAAGCUCGUGGAACGAGCGGCGGACGGGUGAGUAACACGUGGGCAACCUACCUGUAAGAUCGGAAUAACCCCGGGAAACCGGGGCUAAUGCCGGGUAAUACUUUUCUUCGCAUGAAGGAAAGUUGAAAGAUGGCCUCUGGCUAUCACUUACAGAUGGGCCCGCGGCGCAUUAGCUAGUUGGUGAGGUAACGGCUCACCAAGGCGACGAUGCGUAGCCGACCUGAGAGGGUGAUCGGCCACACUGGGACUGAGACACGGCCCAGACUCCUACGGGAGGCAGCAGUAGGGAAUCUUCCGCAAUGGACGAAAGUCUGACGGAGCAACGCCGCGUGAACGAUGAAGGUCUUCGGAUCGUAAAGUUCUGUUGUUAGGGAAGAACAAGUGCCGUGCGAAUAGAGCGGCACCUUGACGGUACCUAACGAGGAAGCCCCGGCUAACUACGUGCCAGCAGCCGCGGUAAUACGUAGGGGGCAAGCGUUGUCCGGAAUUAUUGGGCGUAAAGCGCGCGCAGGCGGUUCCUUAAGUCUGAUGUGAAAGCCCACGGCUCAACCGUGGAGGGUCAUUGGAAACUGGGGAACUUGAGGACAGAAGAGGAGAGUGGAAUUCCACGUGUAGCGGUGAAAUGCGUAGAUAUGUGGAGGAACACCAGUGGCGAAGGCGACUCUCUGGUCUGUUUCUGACGCUGAGGUGCGAAAGCGUGGGUAGCAAACAGGAUUAGAUACCCUGGUAGUCCACGCCGUAAACGAUGAGUGCUAGGUGUUAGGGGGCUUCCACCCCUUAGUGCUGAAGUUAACGCAUUAAGCACUCCGCCUGGGGAGUACGGCCGCAAGGCUGAAACUCAAAGGAAUUGACGGGGGCCCGCACAAGCGG